AGGACUCACGCAGAGCCACGGGGGCGAAGCCUAAGGCAGGUAAAAGGCGAUUUCUUUUUGAAUCGCGAAAGCACGAGGGACAGAAGCAAAGGAGGAAGAAGCACGGGGAGAGAGGGAAGCAGUGGGGAAAGAAGCACGCCGAGUAGAAGCAGGAGAGCAGCCUUGCGGCACCAGUGGCCAGUGUCUCCAAGAUUUUCGCCCAAUCUUUUGCAGUGGGAUGAAGAACGGACUCCUGUGACCAGCAGACUGGUAGUGGACCCUUGGUGGAGUGAGUUUGUAGAGAAGAGCGCAGAACAUGUAGGGGAACUGCGGUAGACUUGACCUUCUCCGAGAACCCCCUGCUGCUUCAGAAAGAGAGGAAGCCAAGGUCACUUAUGAGAGAAACACAGGAGAAAAAUGGCCGGGACGUCUCCGCUUUCUCCUUAUGUGGAAGAGGACUUGGCAGCGUUUCCGUGGCAGUUGUACAGGAGUGGAGAUUCCUUGUGAGAUGGAUAUGAAGACAAUGGGAGACCAGCACUAAUUAUAUAUCGGACAAGAGUUGUUUGUUUAGAAUUGACAGGACCAACAAACAAGAGACAGUUUCCAAACUACAUUCUUAGUUUCUUAAAAAUAGGAAUAACACUUUAGAUUUAAUCCAAUCUUUCAGAAACACACCAGCCCACAAUUUUUCCCCCCAUUUUAAAUCGUGAAGUUCGAGGAGAGCCAAAUAGUAUUUAUUCUUUUUUACUGGAUCAUAAGAUUCUGGCCUAUGCCUUAGGAUAGGCGACAUUCUUCAGGGAUAGAUUAGGGGCCCAGACAAGUAGCAGUUGCUUUUAGCAGU